rnacentral:rRNA from 1 species
CCUACGGGAGGCAGCAGUGGGGAAUUUUGGACAAUGGGCGCAAGCCUGAUCCAGCAAUGCCGCGUGAGUGAAGAAGGCCUUCGGGUUGUAAAGCUCUUUUGUCAGGGAAGAAACGGUGGGAGCUAAUAUCUCCUACUAAUGACGGUACCUGAAGAAUAAGCACCGGCUAACUACGUGCCAGCAGCCGCGGUAAUACGUAGGGUGCAAGCGUUAAUCGGAAUUACUGGGCGUAAAGCGUGCGCAGGCGGUUUUGUAAGUCUGUCGUGAAAGCCCCGGGCUCAACCUGGGAAUUGCGAUGGAGACUGCAAGGCUUGAAUCUGGCAGAGGGGGGUAGAAUUCCACGUGUAGCAGUGAAAUGCGUAGAGAUGUGGAGGAACACCGAUGGCGAAGGCAGCCCCCUGGGUCAAGAUUGACGCUCAUGCACGAAAGCGUGGGGAGCAAACAGGAUUAGAUACCCUGGUAGUCCACGCCCUAAACGAUGUCUACUAGUUGUCGGGUUUUAAUUAACUUGGUAACGCAGCUAACGCGUGAAGUAGACCGCCUGGGGAGUACGGUCGCAAGNUUAAAACUCAAAUGAAUUGACCGGNNGAGAGNGCGAGACGACGACGAGGGAGGAGG